ACCAGCUCCAGGCCGCUCAAGAAGCGGCUGCUCCGCUCCCGGGCUGCGGCCAGAGCCUCAGCCUCCGGGGCGGGCUCCUCGCCAUCGGCCGGCGUAGUAGCUCUGGCCGCCGCCAUGACUGCUCGGCGCAACAGCUCCAACCGAUCAGCUGUCUCUGAAAACUGUCGCGAUGCUUCGGCUCGCUUCGGAAAUCCUGGGACUUCUUCGGCAAUCCUGGGACUUCUUCGGCUACCCGAAUGCGUCCACCCCGGACACUUCCGGCCUGUAAGUGGUUACGCCUCCCAACUUUUCGGCUCUCUGAAGCCUGAGGUUCCCUGCAGGAAGGGCUCUUGUGGCCCCGCCUUCCGCCUCUUCGGCUAUCUCCGUACACGUUCGGCAACGCUCAGUAAGUGGCUCUUCCCGACUCCUUGGCUCUCCGGAAAUCUUCGGUGACUCUCGCAGCCGGCUUUGGGGGCCCACCUCUCAGUUGGUCGUCUCUUUCCGGAAAACUUCGGCGCCUCUCGAGAAAAACGUCGGACGCGCUUUGCUCUCUUCAGAAGUCUCUUCCGGGACAGCUGUACCCUCUAGUAGUCUCUUUUUGGAACUCCUCUUCCCCUGACUCCUACAUUCCCCCCAAAAUGUGCUCAUACAAGUCAGAGUCGGAAGGGUCAGACAAUGAACCAUGUUUCCGACAUCCUCUUAAGUGCUAGGAUAACUACCAUUUAGUGCAUUCAGAAGAAAUAAGGUUAAAUGAUGAAAAUCCUUACAGAAAAGAAAAUUGAGACUCAGAGCUGGCAGAGGGGGUGGUAAGAUGGGGUGGGGAGUGGGGGCUGGGGAAUCCGGGAAAGUCUUCCGGAGACAGAACCUAAACUGAAUUGGGAAUAAUUAAACUUUUUCAGUUUCUACCUGUUUCAUUACAAAGCUUAUAAUAACACAGGCUGUAGCAAAUUCUUACAAUACGGAACUUUGCACACGCACACAUAAAUAAAUAAACUACCUAUCCCCCUUGUGA